GACAGAGGUGGCAAGCGUUGUUCGGAUUUACUGGGCGUAAAGAGCGCGUAGGCGGUUGCAUAUGUCAGAUGUGAAAUCCCAGGGCUUAACCCUGGAAUGGCAUUUGAAACUGUGCGACUUGAGUCCGGGAGAGGGGGGUGGAAUUCCCAGUGUAGCGGUGAAAUGCGUAGAUAUUGGGAGGAACACCGAUGGCGAAGGCAGCCCCCUGGGCUGACACUGACGCUCAGGCACGAAAGCGUGGGGAGCAAACAGG
rnacentral:rRNA from 1 species